rnacentral:rRNA from 1 species
GACUUAGUCCUAACCUUACCGUUGGCUGUUGCUAGGAAUAUACAUGCAAGUAUCCGCGCCCCAGUGUAGAUGCCCUCAGUACCUGCCCCCAGGUCAGUAGGAGCGGGUAUCAGGCUCACCCUAACCGUAGCCCAAGACGCCUUGCACUUGCCACGCCCCCACGGGUACUCAGCAGUAGUUAAUAUUAAGCAAUGAGUGUAAACUUGACUUAACCAUAGCAACUCAGGGUCGGUAAAUCUUGUGCCAGCCACCGCGGUCAUACAAGAGACCCAAGUUAACUUUAUAACGGCGUAAAGCGUGGUCGAAUGCUAUCAAAGUAACUAAGAUUAAAAAGCAACUGAGCUGUCAUAAGCCCAAGAUGCCCAUAAGGCCACCCCGCAAAGAAGAUCUUAGACUAACGAUUAAUUGAAAUCCACGAAAGCCAGGACCCAAACUGGGAUUAGAUACCCCACUAUGCCUGGCCCUAAAUCUUGAUGCCUUAACCUACUUAGGCAUCCGCCCGAGAACUACGAGCACAAACGCUUAAAACUCUAAGGACUUGGCGGUGCCCCAAACCCACCUAGAGGAGCCUGUUCUGUAAUCGAUGAUCCACGAUAUACCCGACCAUUUCUUGCCAAUCAGCCUAUAUACCGCCGUCGCCAGCCCACCCAUCUGAAGGAUCAACAGUGAGCGCAAUAGCCUAACCCGCUAAUAAGACAGGUCAAGGUAUAGCCUAUGGAAUGGAGGCAAUGGGCUACAUUUUCUAGUAUAGAACAUAACGGC